AAGACUAUAGACCUGCGGAGUACCUGCGGAGGGAUCAUUAACACAAAAUGAUACAAACCUUUUUGGCUGGAAAAGGGAUGAAAAAUCUGUCACAGAUUCCGAUUCCCUCUCCAACCAAAUUACCACAAUGGAAAAUGUUAAAGUCCAUUAACAUUAAUUCUAAUGUUUCUGGAUUUUAUUCAUCUUCAUUUACAAAACUCAGUUUAAAAACACAAUAGAAUCUUGUUAUGAUUAUAUCUG
rnacentral:misc_RNA from 1 species